rnacentral:lncRNA from 1 species
CUCUUCCGAUGGGUCCAAAGUUCUCCUAAAACAGGCAAGAUGUUUUCUCACUCAAUUAGAAAGGUGUUUCAAGAACCAUCUACUAAGUGUAUAUGACAUGCCAAGUUUGUUCUAGCAGUGAGAAUACAACAGGGGACAAACAAGUCUUUGCCCUCAUGAAGCUGAAAAAUUAGCAAAGACCAACCGAUCGAUUAACAGCCAAUGCUAAAAUACGCCGUGUAGCGAUAAGAACUUGGAAGACAAAUAAAGCAGGGUGAGGGCACUAGGGAUGGCACGUGAAAACACGACUCUUAGGCAGAAAGCAGAAUGAACAGCGGGAGUAAGCACCCGGAGCGUCGGCAAGACGAGAGGCUGUGGGCAGUGGAGAGGCCAAGUGCCAUGACGAAAUGCCAGGACACGGCUGGAAAAGAAGGGUGGAAAGAAGGGGUACUGGACUGAGUACUGAAGAGGGACUUCCACUGUUAUUCUACAUGUUAUCGGAUUGUUUGAAUUUCUUCUCGAUUGACGCACCAUGGAAGCGCCUGUCUGCUCCGACUUGGAUGGGACCUUUAGACGAUUAUUUAAACAUAUAUGAAGACAGAAAAACCACGAAACCCACAGGACAGCCAAUCUCCUAAAGCCGUAGACCAUGCCUUUGAGAAACAGUGAAACAUCAGUCAACGUGGUACAUUUGUACGUGGAUAGAGAAAGUCUGGAAUAAAUUAGCAGCAUCAAUAACUUCUGGCA